AUGUUUUUGCUGUAACAAAUAUGAAUUUUUUGUUUAAGUAUAAUAAUUUAAAAUGUUUUUUCUAGAGAAUGAAGUACUGCCACUAAGGUAAAGGUGCUAACUUGCAAGGAGCUGUUCUCAAAACAUUGGGUGACAAAGAAUUCACUUUUACAAAAAUCGAGCAGGAUAUUAAAGACAGCGAACUAUAGAACAAAUAUGGCGAAGCUGCAUGAAGUCUAUGUUGAAUUUUAUUAUU